rnacentral:rRNA from 1 species
UUAAACUUGAGAGUUUGAUCAUGGCUCAGAACGUACGCUGGCGGCACGCCUAACACAUGCAAGUCGAACGAAGUAGCAAUACUUAGUGGCAGACGGGUGAGUAACAUGUGGGUAUCUGCCCUUUGGCCUGGAAUAACACGAGGAAACUUGUGCUAAUACUGGAUAAGUCUUUACGGAGAAAGCUUUAUGCACCAUUGGAUGAGCCCGCACUUGAUUAGUUUGUUGGUGGGGUAAUGGCCUACCAAGACUUUGAUCAAUAGCUGAUUUGAGAGGAUGAUCAGCCACAUUGGGACUGAGACACGGCCCAAACUCCUACGGGAGGCAGCAGUGGGGAAUCUUGCACAAUGGAGGAAACUCUGAUGCAGCGAUGCCGCGUGAGUGAAGAAGGCCCUUGGGUUGUAAAGCUCUUUCGUCGGGGAAGAAAAUGACUGUACCCGAAUAAGAAGGUCCGGCUAACUUCGUGCCAGCAGCCGCGGUAAUACGAAGGGACCUAGCGUAGUUCGGAAUUACUGGGCUUAAAGAGUUCGUAGGUGGUUGAAAAAGUUGGUGGUGAAAUCCCAGAGCUUAACUCUGGAACUGCCAUCAAAACUUUUCAGCUAGAGUUUGAUAGAGGAAAGCAGAAUUUCUAGUGUAGAGGUGAAAUUCGUAGAUAUUAGAAAGAAUACCAAUUGCGAAGGCAGCUUUCUGGAUCAUUACUGACGCUGAGGAACGAAAGCAUGGGUAGCGAAGAGGAUUAGAUACCCUCGUAGUCCAUGCCGUAAAAGAUGUGUGUUAGACGUUGGAAAUUUAUUUUCAGUGUCGCAGCGAAAGCGAUAAACACACCGCCUGGGGAGUACGACCGCAAGGUUAAAACUCAAAUGAAUUGACGGGGACCCGCACAAGUAGUGGAGCAUGUGGUUUAAUUCGAAGAUACGCGCAGAACCUUACCAACACUUGACAUGUUCGUCGCAACUUUAAGAGAUUAAAGUUUUCGGUUCGGCCGGACGAAACACAGGUGCUGCAUGGCUGUCGUCAGCUCGUGUCGUGAGAUGUUGGGUUAAGUCCCGCAACGAGCGCAACCCUCACUUUUAGUUGCCAUCAUUAAGUUGGGCACUCUGAAAGAACUGCCAGUGAUAAGCUGGAGGAAGGUGGGGAUGACGUCAAGUCCUCAUGGCCCUUACGUGUUGGGCUACACACGUGCUACAAUGGUAUCUACAACAGGAAGCGAAACAGCGAUGUUAAGCAAAUCCUUAAAAGAUACCUCAGUUCGGAUUGCACUCUGCAACUCGAGUGCAUGAAGCUGGAAUUACUAGUAAUCGUGGAUCAGCGUGCCACGGUGAAUGCGUUCCCGGGUCUUGUACACACCGCCCGUCACACCAUGGGAGUUGGUUCUACCUUAAGGCAAGGUUUAAUACCCUUGACCACGGUAUAGUCAGCGACUGGGGUGAAGUCGUAACAAGGUAGCCGUAGGGGAACCUGCGGCUGGAUUACCUCCUUUCU